rnacentral:lncRNA from 1 species
UGUACUUGCAUAUGGAUUCUGGAACAAAGUCCGGUAAAAAGAAAACCCAGUGUAAGUGUAAGAACCCCAAAUUAAACAUGGUCUAACUAACAGCCAGAAGUCGGUAAAAAGAAAACCCAGUUUGCGUAAGAACUCCAAGCAUGGUCUAAGUCUAACACAUAUACUAUAGGAGAUCCAAAUAACCCCUAGGUAAAUCGACCAGCAACCC